rnacentral:rRNA from 1 species
GAUGAACGCUGGCGGCGUGCUUAACACAUGCAAGUCGAACGGAGUACCCCUGAAGGAGUUUUCGGACAACUGAUGGGACUACUUAGUGGCGGACGGGUGAGUAACGCGUGAGUAACCUGCCUUGGAGUGGGGAAUAACAGCUGGAAACAGCUGCUAAUACCGCAUAAUAUAUCUGUGUCGCAUGGCAGUGGAUAUCAAAGAUUUAUCGCUCUGAGAUGGACUCGCGUCUGAUUAGCUAGUUGGCGGGGUAACGGCCCACCAAGGCGACGAUCAGUAGCCGGACUGAGAGGUUGGCCGGCCACAUUGGGACUGAGACACGGCCCAGACUCCUACGGGAGGCAGCAGUGGGGAAUAUUGGGCAAUGGGCGCAAGCCUGACCCAGCAACGCCGCGUGUAGGAAGAAGGCUUUCGGGUUGUAAACUUCUUUUCUCAGGGACGAAGCAAGUGACGGUACCCGAGGAAUAAGCCACGGCUAACUACGUGCCAGCAGCCGCGGUAAUACGUAGGUGGCAAGCGUUAUCCGGAUUUACUGGGUAUAAAGGGCGUGUAGGCGGGACUGCAAGUCAGAUGUGAAAACCACGGGCUCAACCUGUGGCCUGCAUUUGAAACUGUAGUUCUUGAGUACUGGAGAGGCAGACGGAAUUCCUGGUGUAGCGGUGAAAUGCGUAGAUAUUAGGAGGAACACCAGUGGCGAAGGCGGUCUGCUGGACAGCAACUGACGCUGAGGCGCGAAAGCGUGGGGAGCAAACAGGAUUAGAUACCCUGGUAGUCCACGCUGUAAACGAUGGAUACUAGGUGUGGGGGGACUGACCCCCUCCGUGCCGCAGUUAACACAAUAAGUAUCCCACCUGGGGAGUACGAUCGCAAGGUUGAAACUCAAAGGAAUUGACGGGGGCCCGCACAAGCGGUGGAGUAUGUGGUUUAAUUCGAAGCAACGCGAAGAACCUUACCAGGGCUUGACAUCCCGGUGACCGCUGUAGAGAUACAGUUUUCCCUUCGGGGACACUGGUGACAGGUGGUGCAUGGUUGUCGUCAGCUCGUGUCGUGAGAUGUUGGGUUAAGUCCCGCAACGAGCGCAACCCUUAUUGUUAGUUGCUACGCAAGAGCACUCUAGCGAGACUGCCGUUGACAAAACGGAGGAAGGUGGGGACGACGUCAAAUCAUCAUGCCCCUUAUGUCCUGGGCCACACACGUACUACAAUGGUGGUCAACAGAGGGAAGCAAUACCGCGAGGUGGAGCAAAUCCCUAAAAGCCAUCCCAGUUCGGAUCGCAGGCUGCAACCCGCCUGCGUGAAGUUGGAAUCGCUAGUAAUCGCGGAUCAGCAUGCCGCGGUGAAUACGUUCCCGGGCCU